rnacentral:misc_RNA from 1 species
CCAAGACUAAGAUCCAAAGACCAGUGUCCUGCUCUCAAAAGUUACAUAUUGAUAUAGCAGAGAAACCAACUUCCAAUUUCUUCCUGCUCCAAGCCCAGGUGGUUUUGUGCAGAGACUAGAGAAAUGAAUCAAGAGAUGAAUGGUGGUGAGCUGGAGAAUCAUGAAGAGAAAAUAGACUAUGUGUUUAAGGUGGUUGUGAUCGGUGAUUCUGCUGUGGGUAAGACUCAGUUGCUUUCCAGGUUCACUAAGAACGAGUUCUGCUUCGAUUCCAAGUCUACUAUCGGCGUUGAGUUCCAGACUAGAACUGUCACCAUCAAAGGCAAAGUCGUUAAAGCCCAGAUCUGGGAUACUGCUGGCCAAGAAAGGUACCGAGCAGUUACGAGUGCAUACUACAGAGGAGCAUUGGGGGCAAUGCUAGUCUACGAUAUCACCAAGAGACCCACCUUUGAUCACGUGGCUAGGUGGGUGGAGGAACUCCGGGCCCACGCUGAUAAUUCCAUAGUGAUCACUUUGAUUGGAAACAAGGCUGAUCUGGUGGACCAAAGGGCAGUUCCAACAGAAGACGCGGUGGAGUUUGCGGAGGAUCAAGGCCUAUUUUUCUCUGAGACAUCAGCUCUGAGCGGAGACAAUGUGGACAAGGCAUUUUUCAGGCUGCUAGAGGAAAUUUAUGGUGUGAUUUCUAAGAAAGCAUUGGAGUGUGGCGACAAAAAAUCCAACGGUGCUGAUGCUGCGAUGUUAAAAGGAUCUAAGAUUGAUGUAAUUUCUGGGUCUGAUUUAGAGAUUAGCGAGAUGAAAAAAUUAUCUUCCUGCUCCUGUUAGUUUUGGACUAUCUCUAUAUUGAAGUUCUGGUUGCAUUUUUAAGAGAAUGUUAGAUUUUAUACUGAAUUUCCUCUUCUUGCAUUGUAAUUGAAAAAUCGGUUUGGAAGGUUUUCUAUUUCUAUUUCGGUUUUAAGAGAAUGUUAGAUUUUAUAA